rnacentral:lncRNA from 1 species
GCCUUGCAAACAAGUGUCUGUGGCAGUGUCCCCGCGGCCCUCCGGCGGCCCUCGUCGCACUAGGCUUGGCUUCUCCGGACAGAAGGAACCGAGGAAGCCCCGGGAGCCGCCGCCGCCGCUUCCACCCUCGGCCUUAGCCCCGCGUAGGGGCCGCGGACUCAGCGCGGCUGCUCGGCUCGUGGACGCGGGGUCGCAGCGCGGGCAGCGCCCCGGCUCCUACGGAGCAGCUCCUGACAGAAGAACGCGCGUGGCUAUCCCCACCCCUGGGAGGGGUUGCCGGUGCCGCGAGCUGCCGCCCAGUUUGCAGCGCUCUCUCCUGGGAGGAUCCGUCACCAGGAAAGAGUAGAAACCACCUGGCCGAGGAGCAGAAGU